GGUUCUAUAGUGUAGUGGUCAUCACGUCUGUUGUUUACACGCAGAAAGUUCUGGGUUCAACCCCAGUGGAACAA